rnacentral:tRNA from 1 species
GCAUUGGUGGUUCAGUGGUAGAAUUCUCGCCUGCCACGCGGGAGGCCUGGGUUCGAUAUCCGGCCAAUGCA